rnacentral:misc_RNA from 1 species
GAUGAAGAACGUAGCAAAAUGCGAUACUUGGUGUGAAUUGCAGAAUCCCGUGAACCAUCGAGUUUUUGAACGCAAGUUGCGCCCGAAGCCUUUUGGCCGAGGCACGUCUGCCUGGGCGUCACGCAUCGCGUCGCCCCCCACAAAUUCUCCGUCAGGGGAGCUUGUGUUUCGGGGGCGGAUACUGGUCUCCCGUGCUCAUGGCGCGGUUGGCCGAAAUAGGAGUCCCUUCGAUGGACGCACGAACUAGUGGUGGUCGUAAAAACCCUCGUCUUUUGUUUCGUGCCGUUAGUCGCGAGGGAAGCUCUUCAAAAACCCCAACGCGUCGUCUCUUGACGGCGCUUCGACCGCGACCCCAGGUCAGGCGGGACUACCCGCUGAGUUUAAGCAUAUCAAUAAGCGGAGGA